rnacentral:misc_RNA from 1 species
UCCGAGUUAACCUAGGCAGUCUCAUUAGAGUUCCCAUCUUUCUUGUUGGCAACUAAUGAUAAGGGUUGCGCUCGUUGCGGGACUUAACCCAACACCUCACGGCACGAGCUGGCGACAGCCAUGCAGCACCUAUAUAGAUGUUCUUGCGAAACAUUACAUCUCUGUAACUUGCAUCUACAUUUCGAGCCCAGGUAAGGUUCUUCGCGUAGCAUCGAAUUAAACCACAUGCUCCACUGCUUGUGCGGGCCCCCGUCAAUUCUUUUGAGUUUCACCCUUGCGAGCGUACUCCUCAGGCGGUGUAUUUAUCGCGUUAGCUACGAUACAACUAGGGUUGAGCCUAAGUUACAUCAAAUAUACAUCGUUUACGGCAAGGACUAC